rnacentral:rRNA from 1 species
GAUGAACGCUGGCGGCGUGCCUAAUACAUGCAAGUCGGGCGAACGGACGAGAAGCUUGCUUUUCUGAUGUUAGCGGCGGACGGGUGAGUAACACGUGGAUAACCUACCUAUAAGACUGGGAUAACUUCGGGAAACCGGAGCUAAUACCGGAUAAUAUUUUGAACCGCAUGGUUCAAAAGUGAAAGACGGUCUUGCUGUCACUUAUAGAUGGAUCCGCGCUGCAUUAGCUAGUUGGUAAGGUAACGGCUUACCAAGGCAACGAUGCAUAGCCGACCUGAGAGGGUGAUCGGCCACACUGGAACUGAGACACGGUCCAGACUCCUACGGGAGGCAGCAGUAGGGAAUCUUCCGCAAUGGGCGAAAGCCUGACGGAGCAACGCCGCGUGAGUGAUGAAGGUCUUCGGAUCGUAAAACUCUGUUAUUAGGGAAGAACAUAUGUGUAAGUAACUGUGCACAUCUUGACGGUACCUAAACAGAAAGCCACGGCUAACUACGUG